UAAAACCCUGUUGUCAAAAUUAGAUGCAGGCGUCAUGAAGUUGUUAAAGUUGUGGCUCGGGCUCGCGCUAACGGCUGAUUCGCCAGCUUUAUUCAGGGAUCGCAAUAAUUUUGGGAUGAGUCUAAAAAGGCCAUCGGAGCUUUAUAAACACCUAAGAGUUUCCAAGAGAUACAUCCUGAGGAAACCCAUGAUGAAGUCGUUACAUCGCUUCCAAAAGACAAAGAUGCCUCAGAGCUAGAGUCACGACUUCACUUGCAUCCCAUUAGCACUAAAAUGGAGCACCUUAAUUAAUGAUUGGUCGCUAGCAUUGCUAAAAUUUUAUCUCAAAGCGUUACAAAUAACUCUCAGAUCAGAGUAAUUUAGUAAGAUAGGUUAAAGGUACCGAAGAAAUUGCUAUAUCUGUAGGAAGGCAUUUGAAACUGGCAAGCAUUUGCUGUUGGGAUGUAAGGUACUCCUGGAUAGCGGUCGAUACUCGCGUCGUCACGAUAGGGUUCGAGAAAUCAUACGUGAAUCGGUUAGUCUUUCGGGAGCCAGAGCGCAAAGGGAAAUAACCACAAACGAACGAUCAGUACGUUUUGUGAGAGAAGCCAGUAGGGCUAUAAAAUCAAACGUCAAGUCUUACUCUAUUUUUAAAAUGGCUUCGGAUUGGACUAUAAUGAUGGAUAUGUGUGUCGUCCUCCAGACCAGACAUAUAUUUAUGUAUUCGCAAAUUUUAAAGCGCUUUGUGAUAAUAGAGCUGACGGUUCCUUGGGAAACCAACAAAUUGUUGAGGUCGUUUAAAAAGCUAUCCACUAUUCCUUCUAAAGAUGGAGUACGAUCUAUAUUAUCUAUCUUACGACCGAGAAAUUUAAAAGGAGCAUAUUCCGGAACCGUAGAAACGCUUUGACCGCCUAACGAUAAUCCGGGAUCGUAUGAGGCAUAUUUUGUAUUUCGCCUACUGAAACACAGACAGUGACAUUUAUUUGGUUUUGUCUUCAAUCCAUCCGUCCACUCACAGAAUUUAUCCACUUAAUACAAUAGUAGCUGACAGUAUUUGAGGUUACGUGUCAGUGUUGCGAGAUCGUCAGCGAAGGCUAAGAUGGGUUUUGUGUAUUUGUUAUUGAACUUGAACCGAUACCCCAAUUUUUUCUCGUUGUUUAGUAGUUUAUCUACCAAAAUAUUAAUUACAAUAUUAAAUAUUAUUGGAGACAAACAACAGCCCUGAUUUAGUCCUACAUUAUAUCUCAAAUCUUUGAAACACCUUCUUUUAAGUAGUUAGCUCGUAGUUAAAUUGAAAACUCAUUACAUUGCUAUUUGCCAUAGCUUACCACUCAACAUAUAGAAAAUAGUUGUAAAUAAAAAUUAUUAUAACAUAGAACGCCUACUUGUUAAAUAGUUUUUCCAAAUGCAAUACUUUAUAACUCUAGUGAUUUUAGUUGUGCCUGUUCAAGGACCUCAUGUUUCACGAUGAGUCUCUACCAUCUCAUAAUCAGUCUACUAGACGGGGACAGUCGUUGAACAGCCGUGAAGUUUUUGGGAUGUUAUCGAAGCAGUGCCUCUAAUGUAAAAAAAAGGGAAAAACGACCCUUUGUCCGUUAGUGGUUAUAGUGGAAUACAGGAAGGUCCUAAACAAUAUACAACUAGAGACAGGAAAUGUUGGGUGUGUAACGAAAUAUCCACGACAAAAUAUUGAAGAGUAAAAUUACUGCAGGCGAGUAGUAAGAGCCCGUAAUCCCGCUCCUUCACUCUCUCCAAAGACACAACAUACCCUGAGGUGGACGGAUGGCCCGACAACAUUCAUACCGCCCAAAAAAAACAUUCCACUUGUUCAAAGAAAAUAAAAAUAAAAUAUUUGGUCCAUUGAAAUAUUACAUUUUUCGGCUUUAAAGUAGAGGCAUGGAUUUGUUUUGGUGAUUUGUUGUUUGAGUUGGAGUAAGUUAGAAUGUAUGAGAUCUCCACGCUCGUCCCUCGAGGCUCACCUUCCCCCUGGAAAAAUAGGUAUUCAAGACUCCAGUCAUCUUUGGAGCGCGGUACAAGCCGGAUAGACUAAUACAAGUGAACGAAUUUAAAGAAAAAAUAAAAUAUAGCUUAAAAAUACUAAAAAACAUGCUUUUCUAAUUAAAGUAACUAAAAAGUAAAAAAUAAUCUUUAACAUUAACAAUAACAGUCAGCGGAAGAUAUUAGUAUACCAUAGAACCAUAUCUUUCAUACUGUUAAAGAUUAUUUUUUACUUUUUAGUUGCGUUAGUUAGAAAAGCAUGUUUUUUUAGUUUUUUAACUAUAUUUUAUUUUUUACUUUAUAGUUCAACCUGUCUUCACCGCGGAUGUGUCAAUCUUCCAGACGACGAAUGUUUGAUUUUACUAUCAAACAGCUUCAUUAAUUCUUAACCCAUUGACAUAAAGCUGUGUUUACAGAGUCGCGUCUCCAAUUCGUGUACGUUCUAAGGCUUUUUGUGUUGUUAGCAUAUACAG